GAUGAACGCUGGCGGCGUGCUUAACACAUGCAAGUCGAACGAAACACCUUAUUUGAUUUUCUUCGGAACUGAAGAUUUGGUGAUUGAGUGGCGGACGGGUGAGUAACGCGUGGGUAACCUGCCCUGUACAGGGGGAUAACAGUCAGAAAUGACUGCUAAUACCGCAUAAGACCACAGCACCGCAUGGUGCAGGGGUAAAAACUCCGGUGGUACAGGAUGGACCCGCGUCUGAUUAGCUGGUUGGUGAGGUAACGGCUCACCAAGGCGACGAUCAGUAGCCGGCUUGAGAGAGUGAACGGCCACAUUGGGACUGAGACACGGCCCAACUCCUACGGGAGGCAGCAGUGGGGAAUAUUGCACAAUGGGGGAAACCCUGAUGCAGCGACGCCGCGUGAGUGAAGAAGUAUUUCGGUAUGUAAAGCUCUAUCAGCAGGGAAGAAAAUGACGGUACCUGACUAAGAAGCCCCGGCUAACUACGUG
rnacentral:rRNA from 1 species